GGCAUCACGAGAACUAAUCUGUCUCCCUCCCCUAAUCAGUGAAACUGAUCUCCCCGUGCAGAAGCGGGGAUAAUAUCAUAAGACGAGAAGACCCUGUGGAGCUUAAAAUCAAAAAUCAACUGCUUCUCCCACCUAUACUAAAGAAACAUUUUCCGCAAGCCUGAUUUAGAUUUUCAGCUGGGGCGGCUGUGGAGAAAAAUAAAUCCUCCACGAAUAUUUAUGCUGAAAGCCACCGCGAUAGGCAUUAAUAAACUUAAUUUUAAUUGACCCAAUUUUUGAUCAACGAACCAAGUUACCCCAGGGAUAACAGCGCAAUCCACUUUCAGAGUCCUUAUCGACAAGUGGGCUUACGACCUCGAUGUUGGAUCAGGGCAUCCUAGUGGUGCAGCCGCUACUAAAGGUUCGUUUGUUCAACGAUUAAAGCCCU
rnacentral:rRNA from 1 species